rnacentral:lncRNA from 1 species
GUUAAUACUUUUAUAGAGACUUUUAAAGAGUUUUUGAGACAUUUGAAGUCUAAAAAUGUAAAGAAGGUGGUUAUAGUUCAAUUGUUUCAUAGGUUGAAAACUAGAGUUUCAAGGUCUGUAUAUGCAGGCAGAAGAGCCCAGAUUAAUCUGGAACUUGUAAAUUUGACAAAAAGGGAGUUUAAAGGUUUUCUAGUGUACUGGACACCAAAGAGGUUGACAUCAAAAUUUCUAUUGACAACAGAUGGUGUCCAUUUGAAUAAAACCAAAAUGAGGACUUAUUAUUAUUCCUUAAAGAGGGCUGUUAAGCUUUCUCUUAGAAAAUAAAAAUCAAUAAUGCCAUUUGUUUGUCACUUAUUAUAGAUAUAUACAUUUUAAUGUGGAGUGGUUGGUGGUGGCUGAGAUAUAUUUUUUCGUAAUAAUGUGGAGUAAAUAUAUUUUUCAGCUUGUAUAAUUAUUUGUAUAUUUCAGGAGGGGAGAUGUUUUAAUCUUAAUUGAAAAUUUUGAUUUCUUGCACCCGAGACCACCAGCUUUGCAUAGCAGCGCGCGUUAACUAGCACAUGGAUUUUGCCAGAUAUGCGGACAUAUCUGUUCUGUGGGAAAGGGGGUAAUGUAACGUUUGUGGGUCACUUUAUUUGGUUCAUUUAUUUAUUUCAUUAUUACUAUUUUUAAUUAUUUUUCCAGAAAGAUUGCUUUUUAUUAUUUUAUUACUUUCCGAUUUUUAUUUCAUUCAUUAAAUUUUAGUGACGUAACGAACCUCGCAUUAGCAUUAAAAAUGUUUUCCCUUCUCAACCAAUCAGAGAGCUCGAUUGAAUUCCCGGGGAAAAUUUAGCUCGUGCAGAUAUUGUCUGCUAGAAAUCAUUCUCAGCCCAGACUUCCAGGUGUAUAGAUGUAAGGUAAAAAGGGGAAUUUUCAACCAUGUGCGCGAUAUUUUUGGAAGUGGUCUCGGUAGGAAUCACGCGCUAUUUUAUAUACUAUAAUUAGUGUAUUGAAGAAAAUGUGUUUUACAGUAUUUUUUUAGGUAAGAAGUUCCCCUCCUAUGAUUUUCAUGUACAUAUUUUGAGUGACUAAAACUGGCUGGUUUUUGAUCACGGUUUGCAUUGGAGAUUUAGCGGAAAACUUUGAAUAUUUACGUGUUGAGGCGUGAAUUAUUUAGAAAGCGGUUCGCUGGUUAAAUUAUGAGUUGAGUUUUUGAAAAGUUCUUUGAACUGAAUAAAAGUUGUCAGUUGGCGAAUAACGAGAUUCGGUUAACUGUUCAGCUGUUCAGUUGUUAAGGUUAAAGUUAUUUAUAACUUGCGGGUUAAAGCAAGUAAAAGUUCGGAGUCAUUAUUUGUUGGCAUUCACGUGAGUGACUCAAAUCUAUGACUUGAACUUAAGGACGGUAAAUUUAAGUAUUAAAGUGUUAACAAGCGAAAUCCAUAUGCAAGCCCUGAUCAGAACGGCAGAGUGAGUCGUUAAAGAAAGUUAGAUACUGAAAGAAUUUAUUUUCUUGGUCUAAGAAAUCUUGUUAUAGACUGCAGAAAUAGACCAUUGACUCGCAAAACUGUAACUUAUUAAAUGUGCA